GCNNCNNACGCUGUGNGNCACUNNCUCUAANACAUGCAAGUCGAACGAUGAAGCCCUUCGGGGUGGAUUAGUGGCGAACGGGUGAGUAACACGUGGGCAAUCUGCCCUUCACUCUGGGACAAGCCCUGGAAACGGGGUCUAAUACCGGAUAANACUCCUGCCUGCAUGGGCGGGGGUUGAAAGCUCCGGCGGUGAAGGAUGAGCCCGCGGCCUAUCAGCUUGUUGGUGGGGUAAUGGCCCACCAAGGCGACGACGGGUAGCCGGCCUGAGAGGGCGACCGGCCACACUGGGACUGAGACACGGCCCAGACUCCUACGGGAGGCAGCAGUGGGGAAUAUUGCACAAUGGGCGAAAGCCUGAUGCAGCGACGCCGCGUGAGGGAUGACGGCCUUCGGGUUGUAAACCUCUUUCAGCAGGGAAGAAGCGAAAGUGACGGUACCUGCAGAAGAAGCGCCGGCUAACUACGUGCCAGCAGCCGCGGUAAUACGUAGGGCGCAAGCGUUGUCCGGAAUUAUUGGGCGUAAAGAGCUCGUAGGCGGCUUGUCACGUCGGAUGUGAAAGCCCGAGGCUUAACCUCGGGUCUGCAUUCGAUACGGGCUAGCUAGAGUGUGGUAGGGGAGAUCGGAAUUCCUGGUGUAGCGGUGAAAUGCGCAGAUAUCAGGAGGAACACCGGUGGCGAAGGCGGAUCUCUGGGCCAUUACUGACGCUGAGGAGCGAAAGCGUGGGGAGCGAACAGGAUUAGAUACCCUGGUAGUCCACGCCGUAAACGUUGGGAACUAGGUGUUGGCGACAUUCCACGUCGUCGGUGCCGCANCUAACGCAUUAAUUNCCCGCCUGGGGAGUNCNGNCNCAAGGCUAAACUCAANGNAUUGACGGGGGCCCNCACAACNGGGGGANNUGUGGNUUNAUUCCACC
rnacentral:rRNA from 1 species